UAAGGGAGCAUUCAUUUUUUAGCUGGGGGGGUGGGCCGGAGGAACUGAUGUCUAAUUCGAUGUGAAAACUUGGAACCCCCAAGACAAAAGUUGAUAAAAAAUUAUGACCCCCUAUUUUUUUUACUGAAAAUUUUUUGACCCCUCAUCCUAACUAAUAAUCCACACGGUGUCGUUUCCAUAGCGUUUCAGGGUCCGUAGGAACUGUAGGAAUCUCUUUUUGAUUGGGGGGCUGAAAGCGAGGGCCGAAGGCCCGAGGAAAUUUUUAAAUCUAGAGUCUCUGAAAUGCCAUUUCCUGGCCUUUGGGGGAAGAUUUGACAGAAUUCUGAUGGUCAGAAAACAGCGUUUUAGUAUGUCGAAAUUGACAAUUUGGUAGUACUAAAUGGGCGAAGGCAUAUUUAAUUUGCUAUAUAUUGGAUAACUAGGAUAAGUUGCAGGAAACUGUGGGUACUAUCUUCAUUCUUUGCAGUUUGUCAUGGAUAAUGUAGCUGCUUAAAAUUAAUAAAGCUUAAAAUUGAUCAAGGUCUGCAUGAUUUUGAAGUCAUGCAGACCUUGACAUCA